CCCUUCACCUUUUCAGGACCAGUUAGCUUCUUGAGAUGAAUGGAUGAAUUAGCUUUAUUGUUGAUGUUCAGUUCUUUGUGAAAAUCAAAUGGAUGGAAAAACUGUUCAACAUCAAUCCUAUGUGAUGGCAACACUGAAGGUCCAGAAGUUUGGUGGAAUUGAUCAGAAGAGUUGAGGCUUUGUGAUGAAAUGCAGUUUUGGGUACAUUGCAAAGAUGUUGGCGAAUUGCUUUGUGACAAGGUCAAGGUCCAUCUUGGAAAAAAGGAAAAAUUGAAUGUCGCCAAUCUCACAAGGAACAUAUGUUGAGUCACAAACAAUCAGCUGCUGGCAGAUUGGAGAAUGGGAGCUGUUGGGAAUUGCUGGCUGUGUGGAGGAAAGUAAUGUGAACCAAUUAAAGCGACAAUAUCUUUAUUCAAAGGUUCUUGGCAAACA